CCCUGUGAACAUACCUAUAACGUUGCCUCGGCGGGAACAGACGGCCCCGUAACACGGGCCGCCCCCGCCAGAGGACCCCCUAACUCUGUUUCUAUAAUGUUUCUUCUGAGUAAACAAGCAAAUAAAUUAAAACUUUCAACAACGGAUCUCUUGGCUCUGGCAUCGAUGAAGAACGCAGCGAAAUGCGAUAAGUAAUGUGAAUUGCAGAAUUCAGUGAAUCAUCGAAUCUUUGAACGCACAUUGCGCCCGCCAGUAUUCUGGCGGGCAUGCCUGUUCGAGCGUCAUUACAACCCUCAGGCCCCCGGGCCUGGCGUUGGGGAUCGGCGGAAGCCCCCUGCGGGCACAACGCCGUCCCCCAAAUACAGUGGCGGUCCCGCCGCAGCUUCCAUUGCGUAGUAGCUAACACCUCGCAACUGGAGAGCGGCGCGGCCACGCCGUAAAACACCCAACUUCUGAAUGUUGACCUCGAAUCAGGUAGGAAUACCCGCUGAACUUAAGCAUAU
rnacentral:rRNA from 1 species